GCUGCUCCUUAUCAACUUGUAGUUAGUAAGGACAAAGUAUAUCAACGUUACCAGACCACAUCUCUGGAUUAUUCACAGAGUCUGCUAUUUCUGUUUGUACUUCCAGACCUGAGAAUAUUUCUCCCAUUCCUGCUGACUUCUGCUUUCGGUCAGUUGUGUGAGUAUACCAGCAGCAAGCUUCCCAGUGUUUACUCACCCUCUGUUGCCUCAUCUGACUGAGUGUCCCUAAUUGUACAGCGAAGGUACAGGCUUGGAAGGCAUGAAAAUGUUGGCAUACAGAGAAGUGUCAAAUACCUAGGGGUGAUAAGAGUGCUGCGUUUAGAAGACAAAUGAUAGGAGAUAAAUUGGUCCUAUAGGUUGGGGCUUCUUACAGAAUUGGGGGCCUCUGAAUCUAAAACUUGUGCUCUUAACUGUUCUCCAUUAUUUCCCCCAGCUGGCCUAUUAAACAUCAUCUAUAAAAAAAAUCUAUAAUCUAGUUUAGAAACUAGCUUACUCAAAGACACAGAAGUUUGCUC
rnacentral:lncRNA from 1 species